CCUACGGGAGGCAGCAGUGGGGAAUCUUGCGCAAUGGGCGAAAGCCUGACGCAGCAACGCCGCGUGCGGGAAGAAGGCUCUCGGGUUGUAAACCGCUUUCAGCAGGAACGAAAAUGACGGUACCUGCAGAAGAAGGUGCGGCCAACUACGUGCCAGCAGCCGCGGUGACACGUAGGCACCAAGCGUUGUCCGGAUUUAUUGGGCGUAAAGAGCUCGUAGGCGGUUCGGUAAGUCAGGUGUGAAAACUUUGGGCUUAACCCAAAGCGUGCAUCUAAUACUGCUGUGACUAGAGUUCGGUAGGGGAGUGGGGAAUUCCUAGUGUAGCGGUGAAAUGCGCAGAUAUUAGGAGGAACACCGGUGGCGAAGGCGCCACUCUGGGCCGAAACUGACGCUGAGGAGCGAAAGCGUGGGUAGCAAACAGGAUUAGAUACCCUGGUAGUCCACGCCGUAAACGUUGGGCACUAGGUGUGGGUUUCAACCAACGAAAUCCGCGCCGUCGCUAACGCAUUAAGUGCCCCGCCUGGGGAGUACGGCCGCAAGGUUAAAACUCAAAGGAAUUGACGG
rnacentral:rRNA from 1 species